rnacentral:miRNA from 4 species
UUGUCAUCGGGGGUAUUAUGAA